rnacentral:rRNA from 1 species
GACAGAGGGUGCAAACGUUGCUCGGAAUUACUGGGCGUAAAGCGCGUGUAGGUGGUCUGGUAAGUCGGGUGUGAAAGCCCAGGGCUCAACCCUGGAAGUGCAUUCGAAACUGCCAGGCUGGAGUACUGAAGAGGAGAGCGGAAUUCCCGGUGUAGAGGUGAAAUUCGUAGAUAUCGGGAGGAACACCAGUGGCGAAGGCGGCUCUCUGGGCAGAUACUGACACUGAGACGCGAAAGCGUGGGGAGCAAAC